rnacentral:rRNA from 1 species
AUUGAACGCUGGCGGCAGGCCUAACACAUGCAAGUCGAGCGAGAGGCGGACGGGUGUGAAAUGUCUGGGAAACUGUCUGAUGGAGGGGGAUAACAACUCGAAACGGUAGCUAAUAUCGCACACCAUCAGAUGUGCCCAGAUGGGAUUAGCUAGUAGGUGGGGUAAAGGCUCACCUAGGCGAAGAUCCCUAGCUGGUCUGAGAGGAUGACCAGCCACACUGGAACUGAGACACGGUCCAGACUCCUACGGGAGGCAGCAGUGGGGAAUAUUGCACAAUGGGCGCAAGCCUGAUGCAGCCAUGCCGCGUGUGUGAAGAAGGCCUUCGGGUUGUAAAGCACUUUCAGCGGGGAGGCGUUACCCGCAGAAGAAGCACCGGCUAACUCCGUGCCAGCAGCCGCGGUAAUUC